rnacentral:rRNA from 1 species
ACCAGCAGCCAUAUCACCCCGCAACUCACCACUGGCAGCCCCACUGUAGCUCAGCAGGCGGGAGCCUGGUCAGUACCUGGAGGGGAGACCUCCUGGGAAAAACUAAGGUUGCUGCUGGAA